UCGGGAAUUUUGGGCAAUGGGCGAAAGCCUGACCCAGCAACGCCGCGUGAGGGAUGAAGUAUUUCGGUAUGUAAACCUCGAAAGAAUGGGAAGAAUAAAUGACGGUACCACCUAUAAGCUCCGGCUAACUACGUGCCAGCAGCCGCGGUAAUACGUAGGGAGCAAGCGUUGUUCGGAUUUACUGGGCGUAAAGGGCGCGUAGGCGGCGCGGUAAGUCACUUGUGAAAUCUCUGAGCUUAACUCAGAACGGCCAAGUGAUACUGCUGUGCUAGAGUGCGGAAGAGGCAACCGGAACUCUUGGUGUAGCGGUGAAAUGCGUAGAUAUCAAGAGGAACACCUGAGGCGAAGGCGGGUUGCUGGGCCGACACUGCCGCUGAUGCGCGAAAGCCAGGGGAGCAAACG
rnacentral:rRNA from 1 species